UGCGUAGGCGGGCUAAUAAGUCAGUGGUGAAAUCUCUCGGCUCAACCGGGAAACUGCCAUUGAUACUGUUAGUCUUGAGUUCGGUUGAGGUAGGCGGAAUGUGAAUGUAGCGGUGAAAUGCUUAGAUAUUACACAGAACACCAAUUGCGUAGGCAGCUUACUAGACCGACACUGACGCUGAGGCACGAAAGCGUGGGGAGCGAACAGGAUUAGAUACCCUGGUAGUCC
rnacentral:rRNA from 1 species